UGAACUUGUGCUAAAUGGUGUCGAAUUUUUUAUGAAUGCCAGUGGUGGUCAUCAUCAACUGAGAAAGCUUGACCUUUGCCUUGGUGUUAUUAAAAGUGCUACCCUUAUUAGUGGAGGAGUUUACAUGUACAGCAAUCACUAGGGAUGCGAUGGUGGCUGGCUUUAUUAUGGAUACUACAUUCUGAAGAGGUGGACAAGGUAUUGAAUGGUGGAUUCUAUUCAUGAUGAUAGUGAUGUUGGAAUUAAGCCAAAUUCAGAUCAAUCUACCUUAAAUAUGUGGUUUACUUCUCGAUGAAGAGGCUUCCUCGAAACAAGGGUAUCGCUUAGUUAGAGAAAAGAUGAAUGAAGUUUUGAAAGAGGUAUGUGCUCUAGAAGUAGAUCCAUGUGCAGUAAAUGGAAGAAUAUUGAUGAAAAUGGUAACUAGAUGAAACCAAGUGAACAUUAAAGAUCCGGAUGAAGCAAAGAUAGAGAAGUGGAAAGAGAAUGAUUUCAACGGGAGAGAAGUUAAAAAAAAAAAAAAAGGAUUAAAGAAAGAUGUAAUGGUUGUGGCAAGCAUGGUCAUAAGCACUACUUAUAUAAUUGUCAGGUAGAUUCAACCACAAUAAUGCUUCUGACAAUAGUGCCUCUGAUGAAUCGGAAGGUAUGAUGAUUAUUUUUAUAAUUCAUAUAUGUAUAGUUGUAUUGCAAAAGGUUGCAUUCUUUGAUUAUUAUAGCUAAUCUCUCUCCUUGACAAUGACUAGAUUGGAGCUUGGCCAACAAGUUCAACUGGUCAAAGUUCUUUAUCUCUCAUUACAUAUUCUAAGUAUCCAUGGUAUUUUGAAUUUUUUAUUUUUCAAUUGCAAUCAAAGUUUGGUAUGCCAUUGUAUCAUGCUAUGAACCUUUUGAGAGAAGUUGUAUCAUGCUGUGAAUCUAUGAUUAGAUCUACUUAACUGAAGACACUAGUUAGGUGACAAUGUUCUUUUCUUUUUUUUUUUGUAGCUAACAGUUGUCUGCGAUGGACUUUAGUGCAUGUUUACAAAUGCGAACAGAAAUACUAUCCUUGUGUGUUCCUCUACAAAUUCAGUUAAAGAGUUAUUUGUUAAAUAAAAAGCAAACCACAGCACAAUAUGGAUCUCCAGGCCAGCAUCAUCUAUUCUGAUUUCAUUCCCAUAACCCUGUUGAAGCCCGGUAUCAUUCAUUCUGAUUUUUUUGUUGUCACAAAAUUGAUGGUACAUGCACAUGUUUCCCUGUAGUGUGGUUUUAUUAUUGAUAUUUGAAGAUUUUGAUACCCUUAUGUGGAUGAGACUUUCAAUUUUCAAUGCCAUAGCCGUGCAUUUGGCUUGAACGCAAAAACAAUACUAAUAUCCAUGAUAGAAAAGGAACUUGUGUGUUGGCGGUAGCUCCUUUAUGUUUGAGUGACAUACCCAGGUUGUGGUCAUUUCAUUGCUUCAGCCCUUGGUGAGCUUUCAUAAUCUAAUUUUCCUUUUCCCCCUUCUUCCAAUAAGAUGACAAAGAAACAAGUAUGACACACUUGUAUGAAUCGAUGACAUGUUGAUGCAGUAGAAUGAUUGAUGCAUGAGACACCCAGUCUGUUCAGUUUUCGUGGUUAUUUUUUUUAUUUUUUUUUUGCAAUGGGGCCUCUACCGGUAGUUUUAUAGAAAAUGAAAACAUCUCUUUUUCUAUGAAAGCAAGACCUUUAAAAAAAAUGGAAAAUGCACAGAACUCAAGCAGGGAGUUCAGAUAUUUUACCAGCGCAAGUAUCUGACACAACUUUGGUUCAGGAAAACCCAGCUCCACAAAGAAAAACAGACAAGGACCACUAAAAAUGCAAUCAUUGAUUGUCAGAGAAAAAAAAUCAAAGAACACAAAUAAAAUGCACAAUUAGAACAUAUUCCUAGGUGAUAAAAAUUAGUUACAGACCUUGAAUAGGCAAUAUUUAGAUGUCUGGCUUAAUAUAAUCCUUCAGAAUUCUGCACACAAAAAAAAGGACAAAAAUAUAAAAAGUUGCCAUUUUAACAAUAGAACUGUUAAAAUCUCAAAGCUUUAGUAGAGAAUUGUAAAUAUACAAAAGAAAACUCAUUUACACAAGCUGCUUACACAAUCCAUCUAAGAAGAACAUGAGAACAGACCUGGUUCUUUGAACAUGAGAACGGUCUGGCCCUAUAUAGAGUGGAACUGCUGAACAAGAUUCAUGUAACCGGCCCCAAAUUGGGAUUAGCUAAGAUGAUGAUAUAACUUCUAUUGGUCUUUAACAAAAACACAUCUUUUACAAUUUCUCAAAGAAAAUAUCAAAAUCAAGGUUGUUUUUCUUCAAACAAACCCCAAAUAAAAUCCUGUACUUUUGUAGCAAUAUUGCAGUUAAAAAUAAAAAAUAAAACUAGUGAAAAGAGAAGAAAGCUUUUGAAACCUGAGCCAUAUAAAAAACUGAUUUUAGAAUGUAAUAUUUCAGAGAAAAUUCGUUUCACCAAGCUGCUGCUUCUUAAAAUAUAGAACAAUUAAAUACAUAGGACAGAGUUCAAAAGAAGGCUUUGUAUGGGGAUCCCUUUAUCUUCAAUAAUUCAGCUGUUUAAAUAUGAGAUGCUUCUUUUCAGUUCGAAUCAGUUGUGAUUGUUUGGUAUUCAUGACUUGAAAUCAAAUUUAAAUGAUGUUUCUCUAUGACGUGCAGGAAAUAGAAAGCGAAGAUGAUAGUCAAGUAAGAGCAAGGCCUGAUGAUCUUGCGAAAGAAUUGAAGAAAAAAGGAACUUCCAAAAUUUUAGUUGAUCUCAUUUUUAGUUGUCGUUAUAAGAGAGCCAUAUGAGACACGUGGCAAAGAACCAACAGAGCAAUCUCCCCGAGCUAUUGAUGUGUAUACCACCAGAGAAGCCAAGCUGAGCAAGGGAACUGAUGACCAAGCUAAACCAGUCAACCGAGCUUAGUAAUAAAAUUCAUCGACCAACCUGAUCAUCUUGAGCAAGCUAUCUUACUGACCUCGACCUUAAAUACUGACAUCGACCUCAACCUCGUAAUAGAAAUAUCCAGAGAGAAUCUCACGUUGUAUAAUUGUAGGAUCGAUACGAUGAGAUCCUAGCCGAAAAUCAUGCCAAUGGAGGCAAAAUUGGAGAUGUUCUUGAGAAUAGACUCCCACUCCAAUAUGGGCUCCUUUAGCAUAUCUAGCGGAUCCACUCAAAUACACAAACUGCCUAGAAAACCUAUAAAUACAUCACCCCACUUGAAGAAAAAUGUAUGCACAAAAAUCCUAACUCUAACUGCAUCUACUCAAAGUUCUUCUACCUGACUUUGGCAUCGGAGGGUCCUCGGCCACAACCGACACUCCCAUUAUCCGUUGUCUUUUCUAUUAAGUGCAGGUGUUCAUAGUC